CGGAGGCAGCAGUGGGGAAUCUUGCGCAAUGGGCGAAAGCCUGACGCAGCAACGCCGCGUGUGUGAUGAAGGUCUUCGGAUCGUAAAGCACUGUCGCGAGGGACGAAUAAGGGCUGGGUGAACAAUCCAGUCCGAUGACGGUACCUCGAGAGGAAGCACCGGCUAACUCUGUGCCAGCAGCCGCGGUAAUACAGAGGGUGCUAGCGUUGUUCGGAAUUAUUGGGCGUAAAGCGCGUGUAGGCGGCUUAGCAAGUCAGGUGUGAAAGCCCUCGGCUUAACCGAGGAAGUGCGCCUGAAACUGCUGAGCUUGAGUACCGGAGAGGGCGGUGGAAUUCCCGGUGUAGAGGUGAAAUUCGUAGAUAUCGGGAGGAACACCAGCGGCGAAGGCGACCGCCUGGACGGCUACUGACGCUGAGACGCGAAAGCGUGGGGAGCAAACAGGAUUAGAAACCCGAGUAGUCCC
rnacentral:rRNA from 1 species